rnacentral:sRNA from 1 species
UGUUUAUGUUUUGUACAAGAAGACUUAUGUAUACAACCCCAAUUUCAGUUAUAAUUUGUGUCUUUUUCAUAUACACUUGUCAUGAACAUUUUCAUGUACUGAAACUUUUUGAAAAAGUUUCUGGAUUUUUAAAACUUUACAUGUAUUUAUUUUGUAACCUCAUUUUGUUCCCAAAACAUGUUUUGAAAGAUUCUGAUACCUUUACUGAAAGUAUCCAAAUUAGUCUUAUAUUAAGAAACCUCCCACCAACUUUUUGUAUUGUGGAAAAAAUGAGCUCUUAAAAAAUAUGGGUUUUUUUUCACUUGUUUCUUUUUAAGAAAGAAUAUUUCACUUUUUUUUCAGAGAUCAUUUAUUAUAUUAACUGUUAAAUCUUGUUGUCUGCUCCACUGUUUGUUGACCAUUAUUAAAGCAACCUUAUGAAAAACUU